rnacentral:rRNA from 1 species
AUGAACGCUGGCGGCGUGCCUAAUACAUGCAAGUCGCGCGAACGGACGAGAAGCUUGCUUCUCUGAUGUUAGCGGCGGACGGGUGAGUAACACGUGGAUAACCUACCUAUAAGACUGGGAUAACUUCGGGAAACCGUAGCUAAUACCGGAUAAUAUUUUGAACCGCAUGGUUCAAAAGUGAAAGACGGUCUUGCUGUCACUUAUAGAUGGAUCCGCGCUGCAUUAGCUAGUUGGUAAGGUAACGGCUUACCAAGGCAACGAUGCAUAGCCGACCUGAGAGGGUGAUCGGCCACACUGGAACUGAGACACGGUCCAGACUCCUACGGGAGGCAGCAGUAGGGAAUCUUCCGCAAUGGGCGAAAGCCUGACGGAGCAACGCCGCGUGAGCGAUGAAGGUCUUCGGAUCGUAAAACUCUGUUAUUAGGGAAGAACAUAUGUGUAAGUAACUGUGCACAUCUUGACGGUACCUAAUCAGAAAGCCACGGCUAACUACGUG